GACGAACGCUGGCGGCGUGCCUAACACAUGCAAGUCAACUUGACUGAAGGAGCAAUCUGACAGUAGAGUGGCGCAAGGGUGCGUAACGCGUAAGUAACUUGCCCAAGGUGAGGAAUAACGUCGAGAAAUCGGCGCUAAUACCUCAUAAUGCAGCGGAUCCGCAUGGAUAUGUUGUUAAAGGUUUACCGCCUUGGGAUAGGCUUGCGUCUGAUUAGCUAGUUGGUGUGGUAACGGCACACCAAGGCUACGAUCAGUAACUGGUCUGAGAGGAUGAUCAGUCACACUGGAACUGAGACACGGUCCAGACUCCUACGGGAGGCAGCAGUGAGGAAUAUUGGGCAAUGCCCGAAAGAGUGACCCAGCAACGCCGCGUGGAGGAUGAAGGUAUUCUAUAUCGUAAACUCCUGUGAGAGCAGACGAAAGACAGAUUAUAAUCUGGAUGACUGUAUGCUCAGAGGAAGCCCCGGCUAACUACGU
rnacentral:rRNA from 1 species